rnacentral:rRNA from 1 species
UACGUAGGUGGCAAGCGUUAUCCGGAUUUACUGGGUGUAAAGGGCGUGUAGGCGGGGAAGCAAGUCAGAUGUGAAAUUCCAGGGCUCAACCCUGGAACUGCAUUUGAAACUGUUUUUCUUGAGUGAUGGAGAGGCAGGCGGAAUUCCGUGUGUAGCGGUGAAAUGCUUAGAGAUCAUACAGAACACCGAUUGCGAAGGCAGCUUACCAAUCUAUAUCUGACGUUGAGGCACGAAAGCGUGGGGAGCAAACAGG